rnacentral:rRNA from 1 species
GUGUCAGCCGCCGCGGUAAUACGAGAGGUCCAAGCGUUAGUCGGAAUCACUGGGCUUAAAGGGUGCGUAGGCGGGCUUGUAAGUGUCUUGUGAAAUCCCAUGGCUCAACCAUGGAACUGCAGGGCAUACUGCAAGCCUUGAGGAAUCUAGAGGCCGGCAGAACGAUAGGUGGAGCGGUGGAAUGCGUAGAUAUCUAUCGGAAUGCCAAAGGUGAAGACAGCCGGCUGGGGAUUUCCUGACGCUGAGGCACGAAAGCGUGGGGAUCAAACAGGAUUAGAAACCCGCGUAGUCC